rnacentral:rRNA from 1 species
CACACUGCCGAGAAAAGCCUCUAGAUAGAAAAUAGGUGCCCGUACCGCAAACCGACACAGGUAGUCAAGAUGAGAAUUCUAAGGUGAGCGAGCGAACUCUCGUUAAGGAACUCGGCAAAAUGACCCCGUAACUUCGGGAGAAGGGGUGCUCUUUAGGGUUAACGCCCAGAAGAGCCGCAGUGAAUAGGCCCAAGCGACUGUUUAUCAAAAACACAGGUCUCUGCUAAACCGUAAGGUGAUGUAUAGGGGCUGACGCCUGCCCGGUGCUGGAAGGUUAAGAGGAGUGGUUAGCUUCUGCGAAGCUACGAAUCGAAGCCCCAGUAAACGGCGGCCGUAACUAUAACGGUCCUAAGGUAGCGAAAUUCCUUGUCGGGUAAGUUCCGACCCGCACGAAAGGCGUAACGAUUUGGGCACUGUCUCAACGAGAGACUCGGUGAAAUCAUAGUACCUGUGAAGAUGCAGGUUACCCGCGACAGGACGGAAAGACCCCGUGGAGCUUUACUGUAGCCUGAUAUUGAAAUUCGGCACAGCUUGUACAGGAUAGGUAGGAGCCUUUGAAACGUGAGCGCUAGCUUACGUGGAGGCGCUGGUGGGAUACUACCCU